rnacentral:ribozyme from 14 species
ACGAAAAAUCGAUAUUGAAAAAAAAAAAAAAAAGGUUCUAUUUUUUUGUUUUUAAACUCUGCCUCUCUCUCUCUUUCUUUUUCUAUCUUUAUAUCUCUCUUACUCUGUGU